rnacentral:rRNA from 1 species
AUACGUAGGUGACAAGCGUUAUCCGGAUUUACUGGGCGUAAAGGGCGUGUAGGCGGUCUUGCAAGUCAGAUGUGAAAUCUCCGGGCUCAACCCGGAAAUUGCAUUUGAAACUGCAGGUCUUGAGUAUCGGAGAGGCAAGCGGAAUUCCUAGUGUAGCGGUGAAAUGCGUAGAUAUUAGGAGGAACACCAGUGGCGAAGGCGGCUUGCUGGACGACAACUGACGCUGAGGCGCGAAAGCGUGGGGAGCAAACAGGAUUAGAUACCCUGGUAGUCCACGCCCUAAACGAUGAAUACUAGGUGUGCGGGGACUGACCCCUUCCGUGCCGGAGUAAACACAAUAAGUAUUCCACCUGGGGAGUACGACCGCAAGGUUGAAACUCAAAUGAAUUGGCGGGG